UAUCAUGCAUUUCGAUUACGUUCCCGCUCUACGCUCCGCCGGAGUCGAAAUUAGGUAUCAUGCGUUGCAAUUGGAUUGAAAGAAGAAGAGGGAGAGCUAUAACUCUUUCGAAAUCAGCUGUUUGCUUUGAAAUAUGUGAAACUGGAACAUAAAGCAAAAAUACAAAAUUACUGCUGUUCAAAGAAAAUAAAUAAAAGUAUGGAGUCUUUAUCCGUGGCGAUAUUACUGGUUGAGGAGGAGAGCAGCGCACCUCAGAAUGCUGGGGUGAGAAUUGAGAGGAGAAGAUUACGAGAUAUGUGCGAUCCGUCCAGAUGAAUGACGAGCUAUUCAAAAAAACUUUCGUCUGAAUAAGGACGCAUUCAAGUAUGUCCUAGAU